GACGAACGCUGGCGGCGUGCUUAACACAUGCAAGUCGAACGGAAAGGCCCCUUUGGGGGUACUCGAGUGGCGAACGGGUGAGUAACACGUGAGUAACCUGCCCUUGACUUCGGGAUAACUUCAGGAAACUGGGGCUAAUACCGGAUAGGAAUCCUUGCUGCAUGGUGGGGGUUGGAAAGCUUCGGCGGUUUUGGAUGGACUCGCGGCUUAUCAGCUUGUUGGUGGGGUAGUGGCUUACCAAGGCUUUGACGGGUAGCCGGCCUGAGAGGGCGACCGGCCACAUUGGGACUGAGAUACGGCCCAGACUCCUACGGGAGGCAGCAGUGGGGAAUAUUGCACAAUGGGCGGAAGCCUGAUGCAGUAACGCCGCGGGCGGGAUGACGGCCUUCGGGUUGUAAACCGCUUUCAGCAGGGGCGAAGCUUGUGGUGACGGUACCUGCAGAAGAAGCACCGGCUAACUACGUG
rnacentral:rRNA from 1 species